UACGGAGGGGGCUAGCGUUGUUCGGAAUCACUGGGCGUAAAGAGCGCGUAGGCGGUCUGUAAGGUUGGGAGUGAAAUCCCGAGGCUCAACCUCGGAACUGCUUCCAAAACUCAUAGACUAGAGAGCGAUAGAGGAUGGUGGAAUUCCUAGUGUAGAGGUGAAAUUCUUAGAUAUUAGGAGGAACACCGGUGGCGAAGGCGACCAUCUGGGUCGCAUCUGACGCUAAGGCGCGAAAGCGUGGGGAGCAAACAGG
rnacentral:rRNA from 1 species